GUUCCGUCAUAUCUAAAUAAAUUACUUUCUUUAGCACGUAUGUUACUGUGCCUAAUUGCACAUCCACCGAUGCUCAAAACUAAGUUUUUGACCCGGAGGUUUACUCGUUUGCGAGCCCUUUCAAUAGCUUGACCACAAUUGGCAUUGUGCCAAUACCGUCUCAUUAGUAUGUCUGACCAUAUUAUUUUUAAAGCUGGAUACAAUGCAUG
rnacentral:lncRNA from 1 species